rnacentral:rRNA from 1 species
UUCCGGUUGAUCCCGCCGGACCUGACUGCUAUCGGAUUGAUACUAAGCCAUGCGAGUCAUUGUAGCAAUACAAGGCAUACGGCUCAGUAACGCGUAGUCAACCUAACCUAUGGACGGGAAUAACCUCGGGAAACUGAGAAUAAUGCCCGAUAGAACAUUAUGCCUGGAAUGGCUUAUGUUCCAAAUGAUUUAUCGCCGUAGGAUGGGACUGCGGCCUAUCAGUUUGUUGGUGAGGUAAUGGCCCACCAAGACUAUUACAGGUACGGGCUCUGAGAGGAGUAGCCCGGAGAUGGGUACUGAGACACGGACCCAGGCCCUAUGGGGCGCAGCAGGCGAGAAAACUUUGCAAUGUGCGAAAGCACGACAAGGUUAAUCCGAGUGAUUUGUGCUAAACGAAUCUUUUGUUAGUCCUAGAACCACUAACGAAUAAGGGGUGGGCAAGUUCUGGUGUCAGCCGCCGCGGUAAAACCAGCACCUCAAGUGGUCAGGAUGAUUAUUGGGCCUAAAGCAUCCGUAGCCGGCUCUGUAAGUUUUCGGUUAAAUCUGUACGCUUAACGUACAGGCUGCCGGGAAUACUGCAGAGCUAGGGAGUGGGAGAGGUAGACGGUACUCGGUAGGAAGUGGUAAAAUGCUUUGAUCUAUCGAUGACCACCUGUGGCGAAGGCGGUCUACCAGAACACGUCCGACGGUGAGGGAUGAAAGCUGGGGGAGCAAACCGGAUUAGAUACCCGGGUAGUCCCAGCUGUAAACUAUGCAAACUCAGUGAUGCAUUGGCUUGUGGCCAAUGCAGUGCUGCAGGGAAGCCGUUAAGUUUGCCGCCUGGGAAGUACGUACGCAAGUAUGAAACUUAAAGGAAUUGGCGGGGGAGCACCACAAGGGGUGAAGCCUGCGGUUCAAUUGGAUUCAACGCCGGG